UCCUACUGAAUCCCCCAGGUCUGGCAAGAAGCAAGGGUAGGUGGUUGUAGCAGUGCGAUG
rnacentral:SRP_RNA from 1 species